rnacentral:rRNA from 1 species
GACGAACGCUGGCGGCGUGCUUAACACAUGCAAGUCGAACGAAGUGGCGAACGGGUGAGUAACGCGUAAUCAACCUGCCCUUCAGAGGGGGACAAUAGUUGGAAACGACUGCUAAUACCGCAUACUGAUGGAGGAGAUUGCGUCUGAUUGGCUCGUUGGUGGGGUAACGGCUCACCAAGUCGAUGAUCAGUAGCCGGUUUGAGAGGAUGAUCGGCAACAUUGGGACUGAGCAACGGCCCCGAGUCCUACGGGAGGCAGCAGUGGGGAAUCUGCGGCAAUGGACGAAAGUCUGACGGAGCAACGCCGCGUGGGUGAGGACGGCCUUCGGUUUGUAAAGCUCUGUUAUCGGGACGCGGUACCGGAAGAGAAAGCCACGGCUAACUACGUGCCAGCAGCCGCGGUAAUAC